rnacentral:rRNA from 1 species
UACGUAGGGUGCAAGCGUUGUCCGGAAUUAUUGGGCGUAAAGAGCUCGUAGGCGGUCUGUCGCGUCUGCUGUGAAAACUCAGGGCUUAACCCUGAGCUUGCAGUGGGUACGGGCAGACUAGAGUGCGGUAGGGAGACUGGAAUUCCUGGUGUAGCGGUGAAAUGCGCAGAUAUCAGGAGGAACACCGGUGGCGAAGGCGGGUCUC